rnacentral:rRNA from 1 species
GAUGAACGCUGGCGGCGUGCCUAAUACAUGCAAGUCGAGCGAACAGACGAGGAGCUUGCUCCUCUGACGUUAGCGGCGGACGGGUGAGUAACACGUGGAUAACCUACCUAUAAGACUGGGAUAACUUCGGGAAACCGGAGCUAAUACCGGAUAAUAUAUUGAACCGCAGGGUGCAAUAGUGAAAGACGGUUUUGCUGUCACUUAUAGAUGGAUCCGCGCCGCAUUAGCUAGUUGGUAAGGUAACGGCUUACCAAGGCAACGAUGCGUAGCCGACCUGAGAGGGUGAUAGGCCACCCUGGAACUGAGACACGGUCCAGACUCCUACGGGACGCAGCAGUCGGGUAUCUUCCGCAAUGGGCGAAAGCCUGACGGAGCAACCCCGCGCGAGUGAUGAAGGUCUUCGGAUCGUAAAACUCUGUUAUUAGGGAAGAACAACUGUGUACGUAACUAUGCACGUAUUGACGGUACCUAAUCAGAAAGCCCCGGCUAACUACGUG